AGGCACCAGGUCCUCCUCGUCACAAGUGCCAGGCAUAAAGCAGGCACUCAAUAAACAUCCAGGAAGGAGACGGCAGGGGAGGAGGCGACAUGAUGACUCCAGGACCCAGAGUGGAGGGAGAACACUUUCAGUCGAAGGAGCCUGGGACCCUUGACACAGAAGUGACAUGUGCAUUCGGAACCUCUCUGUGGAAAACACAGACCCUUCAUGACACGCAAACUCGAAGCCGAUGCAAUAACCACCUUCGGAGACCAGACCCCUCAAAGAGCACUCAGCCCACAAUGUGACGCAGAGAAACCAGAGACCCAGGCAGGGAGUGCACCCACGGGGACACUCCGAGGGUGGCCUCCUGCCUGCCCU
rnacentral:lncRNA from 1 species